rnacentral:ncRNA from 1 species
UCAUCUAGCUGCGGGUGCCUUCGGAUAUCGUCCCUUUCUGCUGUUUUCAGGAGAAGGAGAGGAUGUUCGUUGUGCUGAGAUUAGACCGCGAGGACUUGAUCACGGUUAUGCGUGCGUAAGGAAUGCUAUGAUGAUCUAAU